rnacentral:rRNA from 1 species
ACGGGGUGCAGCAGGCGCGAAAACUUCACAAUGGGGGCAACCCCGAUGAGGGAAUUCCUAGUGCUAGCACAUUUGUGGUAGCUUUUCUUUAGCUUAGAAAACUAGAGGAAUAAGGGCUGGGUAAGACGGGUGCCAGCCGCCGCGGUAAUACCUGCAGCCCAAGUGGUGGUCGAUUUUAUUGAGUCUAAAACGUUCGUAGCCGGUUCGGUAAAUCUUUGGGUAAAUCGGGGGGCUUAACCUCCCGACUUCCGAGGAGACUGCCGAACUUGGGACCGGGAGAGGCUAGAGGUACUUCUGGGGUAGGGGUAAAAUCCUGUAAUCCUAGAAGGACCACCGGUGGCGAAGGCGUCUAGCUAGAACGGAUCCGACGGUGAGGGACGAAGCCCUGGGUCGCAAACGGGAUUAGAUACCCCGGUAGUCCAGGGUGUAAACGCUGCAGACUUGGUGUUGGAGGCCCUUUGGGGGCAUUCAGUGCUGGAGAGAAGUUGUUAAGUCUGCUACUUGGGGAGUACGUCCGCAAGGAUGAAACUUAAAGGAAUUGGCGGGGGAG